AGGAACAGAUAGAGCAACAAUUACUGUAUGAUAACGUCUAGCAAAAAUACUUAAAGAAAAACAAAAAAACAAAAACAAAGGCAGAGUCACAUCAGGCAAAUGUUUAUUGUCAAUAUUGUAACGAUGCACUAAGCACUUCUCAUAUGAUUAUAGUGACCAAAAUAAUUGUGGUUAUUAAUAUCACUCUUUGGUUUUCACAAACAAUAGUAGUAUAGUGUGUGUGUAUAUAUAUAAUAACAUGAACAACAAAAUGAUAAAUGAUUAUAGGUAUUUUAUUUGCUCCGUGAAUAAUUCUAGAUACUUUAUUAUCCAAAUCGUUAAUAUUUUUAGAAUGCUCAUUAGCUUAUUUUUGAUCAACUGUAACGUUACAUUAAAAAAAAAAAUCAGUCAGAUUUUCGCAUUGGUCUGAACAAAAAUGGCAGACAGGCUGAAGGCUGCGUCCUCCAGAGGGCGCAUUUGUCCGUUUUGGCCGCAUUCGCCACUAUUUCAGUAACCUGACGACUACAUUCCAAAGUCAUAAAGAAAUUACAAUUUACACUUCACUAGGACUAACGGUCAAUUUUAUAAUGGUUAAGCCGCGGUCACCCUAGACUGAGCAUGCGAAAUUUCUUGGGACACUGCAACGGUCGUGAUAUAACGUCACGCUCUGCAGCGUCUUUUUUUAUAAACAUGAAUUCAACAUAUAAGAAAUUGUAAUGCAUUAAAAAUGUACUUUUCUGAUACAAGACAUCCUUUAUGACGACAAAUGCGACAUCCGAAAGACGCAGUCCUUCGAAACGAGACAGUAGGUGGCACUUGUGGAACAGCAGAAAUAGAGCGGUUUCCCUGGUAACGGCUGUACACAAAGCAGCGCUGGGAUAAUAAACAGUACUUUACAUGGAGGUAAGAUGAAAAUAAAAUGCCAUCGAUUUUUUUUUUUCUGAAGAGGGUCGUUAAAUCUAGCAUAAAUCUUUUAUUCUGGAAAAUCUGAACAUGUUCUUCUAAUUAUUUCUUUGCAUGACUGUUUCCAACUACAUGCCACUGUUUGAGCCGUCACAACGGUAAACGUGGUAAGAAACUAGUAAAAUCUGAAUUUUCUGCAUGAAUCUUUUUUUAUUCUGAAAAAUCAUUGUAUUUCUAAAAGUGUUUCUUUCCCUGUUUGUCUCUUUACAUUUACAUGCCGUGGUAAACGCUGUAAGAAACGCCAUGUAUGAGCAAUAAAAGGCAAGUAAAAUCUGAAUGUUCUGUUAUAUGAAUACAUCAAAAACCUGUAUUAACUUGUGUUAAAGUGCAGCAUUAAUCUUUUAUUCAGGAAAAUCACUGUAUAUUUAAACAUUUUUUUCUAUUUCUAUGACUUCCAACUACAUGCCAUGGUUUGAUCUGCCACAAUGAUGUGGCAAGAAAUCAUCUGACAGCAACAAAAGGUCAAUCCAGUCUGAAUGUUUUAUAUAUGAAAACUGUAUUAACUUGUUGUAAAGUGCAAAAUCACUGAACAUGUUCUUCUGUUUGUUUGUUUUUUCUUUGCAUGACUUUUUCCAACUACAUGACAUUGUUUGAGCCGUCACAAUGGCAAACAUGGUAAGAAAUAUCAUGUGACAACAUCAAAAACCUGUAUCAACAUGUUAAAGUGCAGUAUUUUAUUCUGGAAAAUCAAUGUAUAUCUGAAAGUGUUGUUCUCUGUUUCUUUCUCUGAAUGACUCUUUCCAUCUACAUGCCACGGUUUGAGCCGACAAAAUGUUAAGCAGCAGGAGCUUGAGCUGCAGUUAUUGAGCAACAGUAAAUGUGACCACACUGCAGUGAGAAGCUGGGCGGGGCCGAGAGCCGUGGGAGUGGAGCGAGGCUGGUGGAGCCAAUGUUUAUGAGCGACACCUGCACGACACACCAGUCUAGAGUCCCAUAGAGGAGCUCCGGAAGAAUAAAAGGAGGAGUGAUGACAGGAAGACGUUAUGUUUCACUGCAAAGCUGCUUUGAAACAACCUGUAUUGUAAAAAGCACUAUAUAAAUAAAGGUGACUUGACUUGACCAUG